CCUACGGGUGGCUGCGGUGGGGAAUAUUGGACAAUGGGGGGAACCCUGAUCCAGCCAUGCCGCGUGUGUGAAGAAGGCCCUCGGGUUGUAAAGCACUUUCAGUGAGGAAGAACGCCUGGUGGUUAAUACCCAUCAGGAAAGACAUCACUCACAGAAGAAGCACCGGCUAACUCCGUGCCAGCAGCCGCGGUAAUACGGAGGGUGCGAGCGUUAAUCGGAAUUACUGGGCGUAAAGCGCGCGUAGGUGGCUUGAUAAGCCGGUUGUGAAAGCCCCGGGCUCAACCUGGGAACGGCAUCCGGAACUGUCAAGCUAGAGUGCAGGAGAGGAAGGUAGAAUUCCCGGUGUAGCGGUGAAAUGCGUAGAGAUCGGGAGGAAUACCAGUGGCGAAGGCGGCCUUCUGGACUGACACUGACACUGAGGUGCGAAAGCGUGGGUAGCAAACAGGAUUAGAUACCCGUGUAGUC
rnacentral:rRNA from 1 species